UACGAAGGGGGCUAGCGUUGCUCGGAAUCACUGGGCGUAAAGGGUGCGUAGGCGGGGCUUUAAGGCAGGGGGGAAAUCCUGGAGCUCAACUCCAGAACUGCCUUUGAUACUGAAGAUCUUGAGUCCGGGAGAGGUGAGUGGAACUGCGAGUGUAGAGGUGAAAUUCGUAGAUAUCUGGAGGAAUACCGGUGGCGAAGGCGGCAUCCUGGACCGAGAUUGACACUGAUGAGCGAAAGCCAGGGGAGCAAACGGG
rnacentral:rRNA from 1 species